rnacentral:rRNA from 1 species
CGGAGGGUGCAAGCGUUGUCCGGAUUUAUUGGGUUUAAAGGGUGCGUAGGUGGCUAUUUAAGCCAGUGGUGAAAGCCUGCAGCUUAACUGUAGGACUGCCAUUGAUACUGAAUAGCUUGAGUACUGAUGAGGUAGGCGGAAUUGAUAGUGUAGCGGUGAAAUGCAUAGAUAUUAUCAAGAACACCGAUUGCGAAGGCAGCUUACUAAGGAGUUACUGACACUGAGGCACGAAAGCGUGGGGAUCAAACAGGAUUAGAUACCCUGGUAGUCCACGCCAUAAACGAUGAUUACUCGAUGUAUGCGAUAGAUCGUAUGCGUCCAAGCGAAAGCGUUAAGUAAUCCACCUGGGGAGUACGACCGCAAGGUUG